rnacentral:rRNA from 1 species
UCCGUAGGUGAACCUGCGGAAGGAUCAUUAGUGAAUUAAACAUGCUUGGUGUCUUCGCUUCGGCAAGGCCCUUGCUUAAAUCACAUCCUAACACCUGUGAACUGUAAGACGUAUGAUGAGGUCUUUGGCCAAGUCAUCGUCUGCCCAUUUUUAACAAACAAUUAAUGUAACAAACGUAGUCUUAUUAUAACCUAAUAAAACUUUCAACAACGGAUCUCUUGGCUCUCGCAUCGAUGAAGAACGCAGCGAAAUGCGAUAAGUAAUGUGAAUUGCAGAAUUCAGUGAAUCAUCGAAUCUUUGAACGCACCUUGCGCUCUUUGGUAUUCCGAAGAGCAUGCCUGUUUGAGUGUCAUGAAAAUAUCAACCUUGACUUGGGUUUUGUGCUCUAGUCUUGGCUUGGAAUUGGGUGCUUGCCGCUUUUACGAGCGGCUCACCUUAAAUGUAUUAGCUGGAUCUGUCUUUGAGACUUGGUUUGACUUGGCGUAAUAAGUAUUUCGCUAAGGACAUUCUUCGGAGUGGCCUCGUUUCUAGGACGCUUGUCCGCUUCCCAAUACAAGUUCCACCUCGUGGACAUGACUUUUUAUUAUCUGGCCUCAAAUCAGGUAGGACUACCCGCUGAACUUAAGCAUA